CUUGGCAGGGAGACACUGACCUUGGGGUUAAGCUUGCAGAAAGCCCACGUCAACAGAGGGAAACUCUGUGACCACCUGUGUACUUUGGCUAUUAUAGUGAGUACACAACAAGUGCAUACAGAGGCCUGGGAAAAGCACAGGGAAGCAGAAGUCAGGGAUGAGGCAGAGAUUUAUUCAGAAGAGUUAUCUCAUCAUACUCAAGAAAGAUUAUCUCAAUCUCACAAAGGACUAGAAUCAGGAACUGGAGGAUGCCAAGAGUCAAAGUUACUUUCUCUGUGUUACGUGAUUAUUUGUUGCUGCUUCUCUCUGCUUUUUGACCUCAAGUUCUUUCUUCCUUCAGACUAGAUUUCUUUAAUUAUCUGUGUAUGCAACAGAAAAUGUCUGCUCCAGCCCUUCAUGACCUCUCAUGCCAGGAGUACAACAGAAGCUAACUAUGCUAUUCUCUGAACUAAUUCCAAUAAUGAAAUGUUGCAGAUAACUUAGAAUUUAGGGAUCAAUCCAUGAAGAAGUUAUAACAAUUGUAAAUAUUUCUGCACCCAACAUCAGAGCACUUUAAUAUAUGAAACAACUACUUACAGAACUAAAGGAGAAAUAAACAGCAAUAAAAUAUUAGUUGGGAACUUUAAUAGUCCACUCUCAGCAAUAAAUAGAUCAUCCUGACACAGAAUCAAUAAGGAAAUAGCAAAUUUGAACAACACUACAGACCAAAUGGAUCUAACAUAUACAAAACAUUCCAUAUAACAAUAGCAGAAUACACAUACUUCUCAAGAGGGCAUUGAACAUUUUCUGGGACAGACCAUACGUUAAGCAACAAAAAAAGUUUUAGCAAAUUUAAGAAGCUUUAAAUCAUACUAAGUAUAUUUUGUGAUCACAAUGGUAUGAAACCAGAAAUCAGUAAGAGGAGGAAAG
rnacentral:lncRNA from 1 species